rnacentral:rRNA from 1 species
UAAUUGAGUUUGAUGAUGGCUCUGAAUGAACGCUAUCCAAAUGCUUGACACAUGCUAAUCGUACGACUAGUUAGAAAUAAAUUUAAAAAAUUAGUUUUAAAAUUUUUAACUAGUAGUGGUGUACAGGUGAGUAAAAGAUAUAUAACCACCUUAGAAUAAGGAGAAAAAUCCCUUAUAGUUAUAAAGAAAUGAAAAUUUCGUUCUAAGAAGUUUAUAUCUCGCGCGAUGGUAAUAGCCUAGGUUAAUACUUAGCUAGCUUAAAGUGCGUAGUCGAAACUGAAAGGUUGAUCGAUCACAAUGGGCCUGAACAAAGCCCAUGAUGUAUAUUACAGCAGUGAGGAAUAUUGGUCAAUAGCCUAACGGCUGAACCAGCAACUUGGAAGAAUGUAUAGCAAUUGCUAACUGCACUAAAAAUUUUAGUGUAAAAUCGAAUUAGUCGAAUAAAAUUCUAGGUAGUAAUAUGAUAAUGACAUUAUCUAUCUAUAAGUCUUGACCAAAUUACGUGCCAGCAGUCGCGGUAAUACGUAGAAGACAAGUGUUAUUCAUCUUUAAUAGGUUUAAAGGGUACUUAGACGGUAAAUCAAGCCUAAAAAAGGGACUAAUUUGCUAGAGUUUUAUGUGAACAAGUAUUAAAGUACUACUGGUGUAGAGAUGAAAUUCUGUAAUACCUUGGAUGGCACAGGUUAAGGCGAAAGCAUCUUUUUAUGUAAAAACUGACGUUGAAGGACGAAGGCUUUGUGUCUCGAACAGGAUUAGGUACCCUAGUAGUCUAAGCAGACAAUGAUGAAUGUCAUAGGUUAGAUAAAAUUUGAUCUAUAAAUGAAAGUGUAAGCAUUCCACCUCAAGAGUAAUUUGGCAACAUUGGAACUGAAAUCAUUAGACCGUUUCUGAAACCAGUAGUGAAGUAUGUUGUUUAAUUUGAUAAUCCGCAAAAAACCUUACCACCUUAAUUUGAAUAGAUAUAUUUUAUCAUACAAGCGUUGCACGGCUGUCUUCAGUUAAUGUCGUGAGAUUUUGGUUAGUUCCAUAAAAUUAACGUAAACCCUUACUUUAUUUUAAAAUAAAGUAGCUCACCGCUAUAUUGGAUGUGAUAAUAGGGAUCAAGACAAGUCAUCAUGACCUGAAUAUUGUGGGCUAUAGACGUGCCACAUAUGCCUUACAAAGAGAUGCUAAAUUGUGAAAUUGAGCUAAUCUUCUAAAAUUGGAUAUAAACUUAAUGGAUUGUAGUCUGUAAUUCGACUAUAUGAAAAAGGAAUUACUAGUAAUCGUGUAAAAGUACGACACGGUGGAUUUAAUCUCAGAUAGGUACUAACCACUCGUCAGGCGCUGAAAGAAGUAUGUGCAAUAAGUUUGGUUGCUCUUUACUAUUAAUUUGGACAAUUAGGUCUAGAAUAGUAGAUAGGUAAUUUUCGUAUGCGUGACUUUGAUUAGUGUUAAGUCGAAAUAUGGUUCGUGUAGUGGAAGUUGCACGGGAUUAAUUAA